UUGGAGCUAGGGUUAGGGUUGGGCUUGGAGCUAGGAUUUUUCUGAGUGCAAUGAACCAACUCCCGAGUCUCUAGGACGUUCCUAAAAAAACUUGAUUUUUCCCAUAGGAAUGCAUGGGUUAGGGUUAGGGUUAGGGUUGGAGCUAGGGUUAGGGUUAGGGUUAGGGUUGGAGCUAGGGUUAGGGUUAGGGUUAGGGUUGGAGUUAGGGUUAGUGUUGGAGCUAGGGUUAUGGUUGGGCUUGGAGCUAGGAUUUUUCUGAGUGCAAUGAACCAACUCCCGAGUCUCUAGGACAUUCCUGAAAAAAAUUGAUUUUUUCCCAUAGGAAUGCAUGGGUUAGGGUUAGGGUUAGGGUUAGGGUUGGAGCUAGGGUUAGGGUUAGGGUUGGAGUUAGGGUUAGUGUUGGAGCUAGGGUUCUGGUUGGGCUUGGAACUAGGAUUUUUCUGAGUGCAAUGAACCAACUCCCGAGUCUCUAGGACGUUCCUAAAAAAAUUUGAUUUUUUCCCAUAGGAAUGCAUGGGUUAGGGUUAGGGUUAGGGUUGGAGCUAGGGUUAGGGUUAGGGUUAGGGUUGGAGUUAGGGUUAGUGUUGGAGCUAGGGUUAUGGUUGGGCUUGGAGCUAGGAUUUUUCUGAGUGCAAUGAACCAACUCCCGAGUCUCUAGGACGUUCCUAAAAAAACUUGAUUUUUUCCCAUAGGAAUGCAUGGGUUAGGGUUAGGGUUAGGGUUGGAGCUAGGAUUAGGGUUAGGGUUAGGGUUGGAGCUAGGGUUAGGGUUAGGGUUAGGGUUGGAGUUAGGGUUAGUGUUGGAGCUAGGGUUAGGGUUGGGCUUGGAGCUAGGAUUUUUCUGAGUGCAAUGAACCAACUCCCGAGUCUCUAGGACGUUCCUAAAAAAAAUUUGAUUUUUUCCAUAGGAAUGCAUGGGUCAGGGUUAGGGUUAGGGUUGGAGCUAGGGUUAGGGUUAGGGUUAGGGUUGGAGUUAGGGUUAGUGUUGGAGCUAGGGUUAGGGUUAGGGUUAGGGUUGGAGUUAGGGUUAGUGUUGGAGCUAGGGUUAUGGUUGGGCUUGGAGCUAGGAUUUUUCUGAGUGCAAUGAACCAACUCCCGAGUCUCUAGGACGUUCCUAAAAAAAUUUGAUUUUUUCCCAUAGGAAUGCAUGGGUUAGGGUUAGGGUUAGGGUUGGAGCUAGGGUUAGGGUUAGGGUUAGGGUUGGAGUUAGGGUUAGUGUUGGAGCUAGGGUUAUGAUUGGGCUUGGAGCUAGGAUUUUUCUGAGUGCAAUGAACCAACUCCCGAGUCUCUAGGACAUUCCUAAAAAAAUUUGAUUUUUUCCCAUAGGAAUGCAUGGGUUAGGGUUAGGGUUAGGGUUCGUGUUGGAGCUAGGGUUAGGGUUAGGGUUAGGGUUGGAGUUAGGGUUAGUGUUGGAGCUAGGGUUAGGGUUGGGCUUGGAGCUAGGAUUUUUCUGAGUGCAAUGAACCAACUCCCGAGUCUCUAGGACGUUCCUAAAAAAAUUUGAUUUUUUCCCAUAGGAAUGCAUGGGUUAGGGUUAGGGUUAAGGUUGGAGCUAGGGUUAGGGUUAGGGUUAGGGUUGGAGUUAGGGUUAGUGUUGGAGCUAGGGUUAUGGUUGGGCUUGGAGCUAGGAUUUUUCUGAGUGCAAUGAACCAACUCCCGAGUCUCUAGGACGUUCCUAAAAAAAUUUGAUUUUUUCCCAUAGGAAUGCAUGGGUUAGGGUUAGGGUUAGGGUUGGAGCUAGGGUUAGGGUUAGGGUUAGGGUUGGAGUUAGGGUUAGUGUUGGAGCUAGGGUUAUGAUUGGGCUUGGAGCUAGGAUCUUUCUGAGUGCAAUGAACCAACUCCCGAGUCUCUAGGACAUUCCUAAAAAAAUUUGAUUUUUUCCCAUAGGAAUGCAUGGGUUAGGGUUAGGGUUAGGGUUAGGGUUGGAGCUAGGGUUAGGGUUAGGGUUAGGGUUGGAGUUAGGGUUAGUGUUGGAGCUAGGGUUAGGGUUGGGCUUGGAGCUAGGAUUUUUCUGAGUGCAAUGAACCAACUCCCGAGUCUCUAGGACGUUCCUAAAAAAACUUGAUUUUUCCCAUAGGAAUGCAUGGGUUAGGGUUAGGGUUAGGGUUGGAGCUAGGGUUAGGGUUAGGGUUAGGGUUGGAGUUAGGGUUAGUGUUGGAGCUAGGGUUAGGGUUGGGCUUGGAGCUAGGAUUUUUCUGAGUGCAAUGAACCAACUCCCGAGUCUCUAGGACGUUCCUAAAAAAAUUUGAUUUUUUCCCAUAGGAAUGCAUGGGUUAGGGUUAGGGUUAGGGUUGGAGCUAGGGUUAGGGUUAGGGUUAGGGUUGGAGUUAGGGUUAGUGUUGGAGCUAGGGUUAGGGUUGGGCUUGGAGCUAGGAUUUUUCUGAGUGCAAUGAACCAACUACCGAGUCUCUAGGACGUUCCUAAAAAAAUUUGAUUUUUUCCCAUAGGAAUGCAUGGGUUAGGGUUAGGGUUAGGGUUGGAGCUAGGGUUAGGGUUAGGGUUAGGGUUGGAGUUAGGGUUAGUGUUGGAUCUAGGGUUAUGGUUGGGCUUGGAGCUAGGAUUUUUCUGAGUGCAAUGAACCAACUACCGAGUCUCUAGGACAUUCCUAAAAAAAUUUGAUUUUUUCCCAUAGGAAUGCAUGGGUUCGGGUUAGGGUUAGGGUUAGGGUUGGAGCUAGGGUUAGGGUUAGGGUUAGGGUUGGAGUUAGGGUUAGUGUUGGAGCUAGGGUUCUGGUUGGGCUUGGAACUAGGAUUUUUCUGAGUGCAAUGAACCAACUCCCGAGUCUCUAGGACGUUCCUAAAAAAAUUUGAUUUUUUCCCAUAGGAAUGCAUGGGUUAGGGUUAGGGUUAGGGUUGGAGCUAGGGUUAGGGUUAGGGUUAGGGUUGGAGUUAGGGUUAGUGUUGGAGCUAGGGUUAUGGUUGGGCUUGGAGCUAGGAUUUUUCUGAGUGCAAUGAACCAACUCCCGAGUCUCUAGGACGUUCCUAAAAAAUCUUGAUUUUUUCCCAUAGGAAUGCAUGGGUUAGGGUUAGGGUUAGGGUUGGAGCUAGGGUUAGGGUUAGGGUUAGGGUUGGAGUUAGGGUUAGUGUUGGAGCUAGGGUUAUGGUUGGGCUUGGAGCUAGGAUUUUUCUGAGUGCAAUGAACCAACUCCCGAGUCUCUAGGACGUUCCUAAAAAAAUUUGAUUUUUUCCCAUAGGAAUGCAUGGGUUAGGGUUAGGGUUAGGGUUGGAGCUAGGGUUAGGGUUAGGGUUAGGGUUGUAGUUAGGGUUUGUGUUGGAGCUAGGGUUAUGGUUGGGCUUGGAGCUAGGAUUUUUCUGAGUGCAAUGAACCAACUCCCGAGUCUCUAGGACGUUCCUAAAAAAAUUUGAUUUUUUCCCAUAGGAAUGCAUGGGUUAGGGUUAGGGUUAGGGUUGGAGCUAGGGUUAGGGUUAGGGUUAGGGUUGGAGUUAGGGUUAGUGUUGGAGCUAGGGUUAGGGUUGGGCUUGGAGCUAGGAUUUUUCUGAGUGCAAUGAACCAACUACCGAGUCUCUAGGACGUUCCUAAAAAAAUUUGAUUUUUUCCCAUAGGAAUGCAUGGGUUAGGGUUAGGGUUAGGGUUGGAGCUAGGGUUAGGGUUAGGGUUAGGGUUGGAGUUAGGGUUAGUGUUGGAUCUAGGGUUAUGGUUGGGCUUGGAGCUAGGAUUUUUCUGAGUGCAAUGAACCAACUACCGAGUCUCUAGGACAUUCCUAAAAAAAUUUGAUUUUUUCCCAUAGGAAUGCAUGGGUUCGGGUUAGGGUUAGGGUUAGGGUUGGAGCUAGGGUUAGGGUUAGGGUUAGGGUUGGAGUUAGGGUUAGUGUUGGAGCUAGGGUUCUGGUUGGGCUUGGAACUAGGAUUUUUCUGAGUGCAAUGAACCAACUCCCGAGUCUCUAGGACGUUCCUAAAAAAAUUUGAUUUUUUCCCAUAGGAAUGCAUGGGUUAGGGUUAGGGUUAGGGUUGGAGCUAGGGUUAGGGUUAGGGUUAGGGUUGGAGUUAGGGUUAGUGUUGGAGCUAGGGUUAUGGUUGGGCUUGGAGCUAGGAUUUUUCUGAGUGCAAUGAACCAACUCCCGAGUCUCUAGGACGUUUCUAAAAAAUCUUGAUUUUUUCCCAUAGGAAUGCAUGGGUUAGGGUUAGGGUUAGGGUUGGAGCUAGGGUUAGGGUUAGGGUUAGGGUUGGAGUUAGGGUUAGUGUUGGAGCUAGGGUUAUGGUUGGGCUUGGAGCUAGGAUUUUUCUGAGUGCAAUGAACCAACUCCCGAGUCUCUAGGACGUUCCUAAAAAAAUUUGAUUUUUUCCCAUAGGAAUGCAUGGGUUAGGGUUAGGGUUAGGGUUGGAGCUAGGGUUAGGGUUAGGGUUAGGGUUGUAGUUAGGGUUUGUGUUGGAGCUAGGGUUAUGGUUGGGCUUGGAGCUAGGAUUUUUCUGAGUGCAAUGAACCAACUCCCGAGUCUCUAGGACGUUCCUAAAAAAAUUUGAUUUUUUCCCAUAGGAAUGCAUGGGUUAGGGUUAGGGUUAGGGUUGGAGCUAGGGUUAGGGUUAGGGUUAGGGUUGUAGUUAGGGUUUGUGUUGGAGCUAGGGUUAUGGUUGGGCUUGGAGCUAGGAUUUUUCUGAGUGCAAUGAACCAACUCCCGAGUCUCUAGGACGUUCCUAAAAAAAUUUGAUUUUUUCCCAUAGGAAUGCAUGGGUUAGGGUUAGGGUUAGGGUUGGAGCUAGGGUUAGGGUUAGGGUUAGGGUUGGAGUUAGGGUUAGUGUUGGAGCUAGGGUUAUGAUUGGGCUUGGAGCUAGGAUCUUUCUGAGUGCAAUGAACCAACUCCCGAGUCUCUAGGACAUUCCUAAAAAAAUUUGAUUUUUUCCCAUAGGAAUGCAUGGGUUAGGGUUAGGGUUAGGGUUAGGGUUGGAGCUAGGGUUAGGGUUAGGGUUAGGGUUGGAGUUAGGGUUAGUGUUGGAGCUAGGGUUAGGGUUGGGCUUGGAGCUAGGAUUUUUCUGAGUGCAAUGAACCAACUCCCGAGUCUCUAGGACGUUCCUAAAAAAACUUGAUUUUUCCCAUAGGAAUGCAUGGGUUAGGGUUAGGGUUAGGGUUGGAGCUAGGGUUAGGGUUAGGGUUAGGGUUGGAGUUAGGGUUAGUGUUGGAGCUAGGGUUAGGGUUGGGCUUGGAGCUAGGAUUUUUCUGAGUGCAAUGAACCAACUCCCGAGUCUCUAGGACGUUCCUAAAAAAAUUUGAUUUUUUCCCAUAGGAAUGCAUGGGUUAGGGUUAGGGUUAGGGUUGGAGCUAGGGUUAGGGUUAGGGUUAGGGUUGGAGUUAGGGUUAGUGUUGGAGCUAGGGUUAGGGUUGGGCUUGGAGCUAGGAUUUUUCUGAGUGCAAUGAACCAACUACCGAGUCUCUAGGACGUUCCUAAAAAAAUUUGAUUUUUUCCCAUAGGAAUGCAUGGGUUAGGGUUAGGGUUAGGGUUGGAGCUAGGGUUAGGGUUAGGGUUAGGGUUGGAGUUAGGGUUAGUGUUGGAUCUAGGGUUAUGGUUGGGCUUGGAGCUAGGAUUUUUCUGAGUGCAAUGAACCAACUACCGAGUCUCUAGGACAUUCCUAAAAAAAUUUGAUUUUUUCCCAUAGGAAUGCAUGGGUUCGGGUUAGGGUUAGGGUUAGGGUUGGAGCUAGGGUUAGGGUUAGGGUUAGGGUUGGAGUUAGGGUUAGUGUUGGAGCUAGGGUUCUGGUUGGGCUUGGAACUAGGAUUUUUCUGAGUGCAAUGAACCAACUCCCGAGUCUCUAGGACGUUCCUAAAAAAAUUUGAUUUUUUCCCAUAGGAAUGCAUGGGUUAGGGUUAGGGUUAGGGUUGGAGCUAGGGUUAGGGUUAGGGUUAGGGUUGGAGUUAGGGUUAGUGUUGGAGCUAGGGUUAUGGUUGGGCUUGGAGCUAGGAUUUUUCUGAGCGCAAUGAACCAACUCCCGAGUCUCUAGGACGUUCCUAAAAAAUCUUGAUUUUUUCCCAUAGGAAUGCAUGGGUUAGGGUUAGGGUUAGGGUUGGAGCUAGGGUUAGGGUUAGGGUUAGGGUUGGAGUUAGGGUUAGUGUUGGAGCUAGGGUUAUGGUUGGGCUUGGAGCUAGGAUUUUUCUGAGUGCAAUGAACCAACUCCCGAGUCUCUAGGACGUUCCUAAAAAAAUUAGAUUUUUUCCCAUAGGAAUGCAUGGGUUAGGGUUAGGGUUAGGGUUGGAGCUAGGGUUAGGGUUAGGGUUAGGGUUGUAGUUAGGGUUUGUGUUGGAGCUAGGGUUAUGGUUGGGCUUGGAGCUAGGAUUUUUCUGAGUGCAAUGAACCAACUCCCGAGUCUCUAGGACGUUCCUAAAAAAAUUUGAUUUUUUCCCAUAGGAAUGCAUGGGUUAGGGUUAGGGUUAGGGUUGGAGCUAGGGUUAGGGUUAGGGUUAGGGUUGGAGUUAGGGUUAGUGUUGGAGCUAGGGUUAGGGUUGGGCUUGGAGCUAGGAUUUUUCUGAGUGCAAUGAACCAACUACCGAGUCUCUAGGACGUUCCUAAAAAAAUUUGAUUUUUUCCCAUAGGAAUGCAUGGGUUAGGGUUAGGGUUAGGGUUGGAGCUAGGGUUAGGGUUAGGGUUAGGGUUGGAGUUAGGGUUAGUGUUGGAUCUAGGGUUAUGGUUGGGCUUGGAGCUAGGAUUUUUCUGAGUGCAAUGAACCAACUCCCGAGUCUCUAGGACAUUCCUAAAAAAAUUUGAUUUUUUCCCAUAGGAAUGCAUGGGUUCGGGUUAGGGUUAGGGUUAGGGUUGGAGCUAGGGUUAGGGUUAGGGUUAGGGUUGGAGUUAGGGUUAGUGUUGGAGCUAGGGUUCUGGUUGGGCUUGGAACUAGGAUUUUUCUGAGUGCAAUGAACCAACUCCCGAGUCUCUAGGACGUUCCUAAAAAAAUUUGAUUUUUUCCCAUAGGAAUGCAUGGGUUAGGGUUAGGGUUAGGGUUGGAGCUAGGGUUAGGGUUAGGGUUAGGGUUGGAGUUAGGGUUAGUGUUGGAGCUAGGGUUAUGGUUGGGCUUGGAGCUAGGAUUUUUCUGAGUGCAAUGAACCAACUCCCGAGUCUCUAGGACGUUUCUAAAAAAUCUUGAUUUUUUCCCAUAGGAAUGCAUGGGUUAGGGUUAGGGUUAGGGUUGGAGCUAGGGUUAGGGUUAGGGUUAGGGUUGGAGUUAGGGUUCUGGUUGGGCUUGGAACUAGGAUUUUUCUGAGUGCAAUGAACCAACUCCCGAGUCUCUAGGACGUUCCUAAAAAAAUUUGAUUUUUUCCCAUAGGAAUGCAUGGGUUAGGGUUAGGGUUAGGGUUGGAGCUAGGGUUAGGGUUAGGGUUAGGGUUGGAGUUAGGGUUAGUGUUGGAGCUAGGGUUAUGGUUGGGCUUGGAGCUAGGAUUUUUCUGAGUGCAAUGAACCAACUCCCGAGUCUCUAGGACGUUUCUAAAAAAUCUUGAUUUUUUCCCAUAGGAAUGCAUGGGUUAGGGUUAGGGUUAGGGUUGGAGCUAGGGUUAGGGUUAGGGUUAGGGUUGGAGUUAGGGUUAGUGUUGGAGCUAGGGUUAUGGUUGGGCUUGGAGCUAGGAUUUUUCUGAGUGCAAUGAACCAACUCCCGAGUCUCUAGGACGUUCCUAAAAAAAUUUGAUUUUUUCCCAUAGGAAUGCAUGGGUUAGGGUUAGGGUUAGGGUUGGAGCUAGGGUUAGGGUUAGGGUUAGGGUUGUAGUUAGGGUUUGUGUUGGAGCUAGGGUUAUGGUUGGGCUUGGAGCUAGGAUUUUUCUGAGUGCAAUGAACCAACUCUCGAGUCUCUAGGACGUUCCUAAAAAAAUUUGAUUUUUUCCCAUAGGAAUGCAUGGGUUAGGGUUAGGGUUAGGGUUGGAGCUAGGGUUAGGGUUAGGGUUAGGGUUGGAGUUAGGGUUAGUGUUGGAGCUAGGGUUAGGGUUGGGCUUGGAGCUAGGAUUUUUCUGAGUGCAAUGAACCAACUCCCGAGUCUCUAGGACGUUCCUAAAAAAACUUGAUUUUUCCCAUAGGAAUGCAUGGGUUAGGGUUAGGGUUAGGGUUGGAGCUAGGGUUAGGGUUAGGGUUAGGGUUGGAGUUAGGGUUUGUGUUGGAGCUAGGGUUAGGGUUGGGCUUGGAGCUAGGAUUUUUCUGAGUGCAAUGAACCAACUCCCGAGUCUCUAGGACGUUCCUAAAAAAAUUUGAUUUUUUACCAUAGGAAUGCAUGGGUUAGGGUUAGGGUUAGGGUUGGAGCUAGGGUUAGGGUUAGGGUUAGGGUUGGAGUUAGGGUUUGUGUUGGAGGUAGGGUUAGGGUUGGGCUUGGAGCUAGGAUUUUUCUGAGUGCAAUGAACCAACUCCCGAGUCUCUAGGACGUUCCUAAAAAAAUUUGAUUUUUUCCCAUAGGAAUGCAUGGGUUAGGGUUAGGGUUAGGGUUGGAGCUAGGGUUAGGGUUAGGGUUAGGGUUGUAGUUAGGGUUUGUGUUGGAGCUAGGGUUAUGGUUGGGCUUGGAGCUAUUAUUUUUCUGAGUGCAAUGAACCAACUCCCGAGUCUCUAGGACAUUCCUAAAAAAAUUUGAUUUUUUUCCCAUAGGAAUGCAUGGGUUCGGGUUAGGGUUAGGGUUAGGGUUGGAGCUAGGGUUAGGGUUAGGGUUAGGGUUGGAGUUAGGGUUAGUGUUGGAGCUAGGGUUAUGGUUGGGCUUGGAGCUAGGAUUUUUCUGAGUGCAAUGAACCAACUCCCGAGUCUCUAGGACGUUCCUAAAAAAAUUUGAUUUUUUCCCAUAGGAAUGCAUGGGUUAGGGUUAGGGUUAGGGUUGGAGCUAGGGUUAGGGUUAGGGUUAGGGUUGGAGUUAGGGUUAGUGUUGGAGCUAGGGUUAUGAUUGGGCUUGGAGCUAGGAUCUUUCUGAGUGCAAUGAACCAACUCCCGAGUCUCUAGGACAUUCCUAAAAAAAUUUGAUUUUUUCCCAUAGGAAUGCAUGGGUUAGGGUUAGGGUUAGGGUUGGAGCUAGGGUUAGGGUUAGGGUUAGGGUUGGAGUUAGGGUUAGUGUUGGAGCUAGGGUUAUGGUUGGGCUUGGAGCUAGGAUUUUUCUGAGUGCAAUGAACCAACUCCCGAGUCUCUAGGACGUUCCUAAAAAAACUUGAUUUUUCCCAUAGGAAUGCAUGGGUUAGGGUUAGGGUUAGGGUUGGAGCUAGGGUUAGGGUUAGGGUUAGGGUUGGAGUUAGGGUUAGUGUUGGAGCUAGGGUUAGGGUUGGGCUUGGAGCUAGGAUUUUUCUGAGUGCAAUGAACCAACUCCCGAGUCUCUAGGAUGUUCCUAAAAAAAUUUGAUUUUUUCCCAUAGGAAUGCAUGGGUUAGGGUUAGGGUUAGGGUUAGGGUUGGAGCUAGGGUUAGGGUUAGGGUUAGGGUUGGAGUUAGGGUUAGUGUUGGAGCUAGGGUUAUGGUUGGGCUUGGAACUAGGAUUUUUCUGAAUGCAAUGAACCAACUCCCGAGUCUCUAGGACGUUCCUAAAAAAAUUUGAUUUUUUCCCAUAGGAAUGCAUGGGUUAGGGUUAGGGUUAGGGUUGGAGCUAGGGUUAGGGUUAGGGUUAGGGUUAGGGUUGGAUUUAGGGUUAGUGUUGGAGCUAGGGUUAUGGUUGGGCUUGGAGCUAGGAUUUUUCUGAGUGCAAUGAACCAACUCCCGAGUCUCUAGGACGUUCCUAAAAAAACUUGAUUUUUUCCCAUAGGAAUGCAUGGGUUAGGGUUAGGGUUAGGGUUGGAGCUAGGGUUAGGGUUAGGGUUAGGGUUGGAGUUAGGGUUAGUGUUGGAGCUAGGGUUAUGGUUGGGCUUGGAGCUAGGAUUUUUCUGAGUGCAAUGAACCAACUCCCGAGUCUCUAGGACGUUCCUAAAAAAAUUUGAUUUUUUCCCAUAGGAAUGCAUGGGUUAGGGUUAGGGUUGGAGUUAGGGUUAGUGUUGGAGCUAGGGUUAGGGUUGGGCUUGGAGCUAGGAUUUUUCUGAGUGCAAUGAACCAACUCCCGAGUCUCUAGGACGUUCCUAAAAAAACUUGAUUUUUUCCCAUAGGAAUGCAUGGGUUAGGGUUAGGGUUAGGGUUGGAGCUAGGGUUAGGGUUAGGGUUAGGGUUGGAGUUAGGGUUAGUGUCGGAGCUAGGGUUAGGGUUGGGCUUGGAGCUAGGAUUUUUCUGAGUGCAAUGAACCAACUCCCGAGUCUCUAGGACGUUCCUAAAAAAAUUUGAUUUUUUCCAUAGGAAUGCAUGGGUUAGGGUUAGGGUUAGGGUUGGAGCUAGGGUUAGGGUUAGGGUUAGGGUUAGGGUUGGAGUUAGGGUUAGUGUUGGAGCUAGGGUUAUGGUUGGGCUUGGAGCUAGGAUUUUUCUGAGUGCAAUGAACCAACUCCCGAGUCUCUAGGACGUUCCUAAAAAAAUUUGAUUUUUUCCCAUAGGAAUGCAUGGGUUAGGGUUAGGGUUAGGGUUGGAGCUAGGGUUAGGGUUAGGGUUAGGGUUGGAGUUAGGGUUAGUGUUGGAGCUAGGGUUAGGGUUGGGCUUGGAGCUAGGAUUUUUCUGAGUGCAAUGAACCAACUCCCGAGUCUCUAGGACGUUCCUAAAAAAAAUUUGAUUUUUUCCAUAGGAAUGCAUGGGUUAGGGUUAGGGUUAGGGUUGGAGCUAGGGUUAGGGUUAGGGUUAGGGUUGGAGUUAGGGUUAGUGUUGGAGCUAGGGUUAGGGUUGGGCUUGGAGCUAGGAUUUUUCUGAGUGCAAUGAACCAACUCCCGAGUCUCUAGGACGUUCCUAAAAAAAUUUGAUUUUUUCCCAUAGGAAUGCAUGGGUUAGGGUUAGGGUUAGGGUUGGAGCUAGGGUUAGGGUUAGGGUUAGGGUUGGAGUUAGGGUUAGUGUUGGAGCUAGGGUUAGGGUUGGGCUUGGAGCUAGGAUUUUUCUGAGUGCAAUGAAACAACUCCCGAGUCUCUAGGACGUUCCUAAAAAAAUUUGAUUUUUUCCAUAGGAAUGCAUGGGUUAGGGUUAGGGUUAGGGUUGGAGCUAGGGUUAGGGUUAGGGUUAGGGUUGGAGUUAGGGUUAGUGUUGGAGCUAGGGUUAGGGUUGGGCUUGGAGCUAGGAUUUUUCUGAGUGCAAUGAACCAACUCCCGAGUCUCUAGGACGUUCCUAAAAAAAUUUGAUUUUUUCCCAUAGGAAUGCAUGGGUUAGGGUUAGGGUUAGGGUUGGAGCUAGGGUUAGGGUUAGGUUUAAGGUUGGAGCUAGGGUUAGGGUUAGGGUUAGGGUUAGGGUUGGAGCUAGGGUUAGGGUUAGGGUUAGAGAUAGUGUUAGGGUUAGGGUUGGGGCUAGGGUUAGGGUUAGGGUUAGGGUUAAACUAUCUAUUCACAGCAUGGGGCUGGAGACAGACACUGAGCAGAACUGUCUUUCUUUAGGAGGGAUUUCUCAUCAUUCAUCUGGCUGACGGACGGAAAUCUCAUCUCUGUGAAGUCGAUGGAUGUAUGAGAAUACAAAAUGAGAAAUCACACAUUCCCGAGGAGCAGAUUUUUGAAAAAAAAUGUACAUAUUUGUAAAUCAGGCACAAAAUCCAAAUCUCAGUUUGAGGGGAACAUGUCUCUUUGAGGCUUUAAAACAUGGUAGCAUCUAUGGUAAACUCUGUACUACAGGGCACCAUUACUGAGCCUGCAUAUUUUAUUAGCACGCACAGACACUAAUGAGAUAUUUAUAUACACACACAGCAAACUGUUAACUCAUCACUCAUACUGUAAGGCUGGAAAGAAACAGCAUGGCGCAACAUUAUCUAAAGUGCUCCAGGGCCAACGGUCAAGUUUUCGUGGUGAGGUUCAUAUCACUGUUGAAGUUCCUCAGCAGGCUGAAAUUAGUUUUAGCUUUCAAAACACAUGCUACUGGACACAAGCACAGUUUAUUGUUCGAUAUUAACUCAAUAUAGUGAUGCAUGAAUGUUUAGGGUUUUAUUGUUAAGCCUCGGUCUACAACAAUCCGGGAUCUGGCUUUACAAACAUACACUCACUGGCCUUUAUUUACCUACAACUGUUCAAUCGCUGACCACACCCGGAUGCCUAUCUUGUCAGCUACGAACAGGAAACUGAGACUGCAAGUCACAUAGGUUCACCAAAACUGGACAACAGAAGAUAAGAAAAAAGCUCAAAUCAUCUCGGACUGGUCUCUUUAACAUGAGAGUGUACUCCAGUGGCCUUCACAGUCACCGGAUCUUAAUCCAAUAGAGCACCUUCUCAAUGUGGUGGAAUGGGAGAUUCAUAUCAUGGAUGUGCAGCCGACAAAUUUGCAGCGUCUGCAUGAUGCUGUUGAGUUAAUAUAGAUAAAAAAUCUAUGAGGAAUGUUUCAAAUGUCUUGUUGAGAGUAUGCUGCAAAGAAUGGAAGCAGUUUCGAAGGCUAAGGGAGGUCCAACCCCGCACUAGCGAGGAGUACCUUAUAAAGUGGCUGGUGACUGUAUAUUGGUGAUGGAGCUGCGUUGGUUUAUUGACUAAAUUGAGUUGAGAUACAAAAUCCAGUGAGCCCAGGUGACCUGAUUUAUUAACAUCUGUCAUACCGAGGUAUAGAUCUACCGGCUGGGAAGCAAACUUACCAUGAGCAUGAAUCUAUUAAGAGCUUCAAUGAAUGAGAAAUAGAUGUCACUUCAGUAUAAUGAAAUUCAAUACAUAGGUUAAUGAUACUGCGAACUCUGCCUGCCAUCCUCAACCAGAAGUGAAAGCAGAAUUCGAGGUAUUGAGCACCUAAAGAGACUUUUCAGACAUUUUCCUUCCUGGUGUGGCUGAAUGGAGUCACGGAUACAUUUAUCAUCAAGGUUGCUCUGAAACACUCCUAAUGCAUAAGCAGUAAGUAAACAGGUGGCGUGACACUGAUGUCACUGAAGAUGUGACCGAGGUAGCUGUAAAAGCAAAUGAAACAAUGGUGAGAUACAGUCAGACUGCUUACCAAGGGAGGAAGGUGUUAUGUUGGUGCUAUGUGUAGGAAAAUAAAAAGAUGAUUGGAUGAUUGAGAAGGUUUGCAGAGUUAUGUUAAAGGGUAAAUUGCACCAAGGAUCUCUAGUCAAAGACUGCAUGCACACACUAGGAUACAGUAUUCUGACACUCACUCACAGACACACUUGCAUCUGUAUAUGUCUGUAUACUUUGACGGUUACAGUGUAACCCUAUCAGCUUUUGAUGGUGUAUAUUAAAUAAAGAUGUAUUUACUGUGAAGCCAAGCUAAUGUUAGUAUGCGGUAUGUGCCCAUGCACAAACCUACACACUAUUCCCUCUGUAAUCAAUCACCACAUAUUGGCAUGCCAGUCUCUAAACCAAUAACAUAUCAUCACAUGGUCUCUAUCUAUGGGCUCUGAUUGGUUAAGAAUGUUGUUUCUCAGGUUUCCAUUAAUAUCAUGUUGAGCAAUGACCUUAGGCCUAGGCAGAAUUUGCAUUUUCACAAAGUCAUUUGUUUUCUUUCUUGGCCAGGAAUGGAGAAAGAAGGAUUUUCUAUUUUAUGAGUACACAGCAGCAAUCACCAGCAAGAUGAAAAGAUUGUAUUUGACCUGGUUAACUUUAAUUUAAGCGUACGCCAUCCAUGGUUACUGAGAAUUUAAGAGAAAAAAUAGAGGGGGAUUACUUGUGUUCCAUUUCAAUUGCUACGUUUGAGCAAAUUACCUCUCUGAGUGUGAGUAAAAAAGUGGCUUGGUGUUUGAAUAUACCAACCUGCAACUAACCCUAAUGUAUUAUUCAACAGCCACUCCCCAAUACCCUCCAGUUCUGCCAAGUUACUGUCACAGAUGGUUGAUGUGACAUGAAAUUACUGUAAUAAGGUUAAGUAGAUUGGAGAAAGAGCAGCAUGAUACUUCAAGGAUCAUUCACCUCCUC